rnacentral:rRNA from 1 species
UACGGAGGGUGCAAGCGUUUAUCCGGAUUUACUGGGUUUAAAGGGUGUGUAGGCGGACUUUUAAGUCCGUGGUGAAAUCUCCGGGCUCAACCCGGAAACUGCCAUGGAUACUAUUGGUCUUGAAUGUUGUUGAGGUGGGCGGAACGGGUCAUGUAGCGGUGAAAUGCAUAGAUAUGACCCGGAACACCGAUUGCGAAGGCAGCCCACUAAGCAAUGAUUGACGCUGAGGCACGAAAGCGUGGGGAUCAAACAGG